AUCAUAAGCACCGAUAAAGGAUCAGCUUAUGUUUUUUUUUUAAAGACUGGACAGCCUCUACCAUCAGCCUUUUGCUAUCUGCAAGCUUGAACAUCUUCGCAGCUCCACAGCUUUCGACAGGCUUUUCUGUGUGGAGCAUAACUGACAUUGAAUGCAAGUGUGUGUGCCUGCCGUAUGGAUCAGUGUUCUAUGCAGUUUUUCUUUUCUGCACACAUAAAAGCUAGAGGCAAUGCAACACUGAAUCCCUUUUUAUGGUUUGUGAGUUUCUCAAUCUUCUAUGACUGAGGUGUAGCUGUUUGUCGUAAUUAUAAACAAAUUGGCAUGUAUGCUUUACUGUAGAUUAGGAAUUAGGAAAGUACAUGUAACCAGUGGUGUAUUAAGUUGAGAGUAACGGAGAACUUGUUACUCUUUCUCAUGGUUUUCCUUCCUGUGGCACACAAUUAGAAAACUAGUGAGAUAAAAAUGUUAUAGAGUGGGUUAGUUUGUUUGAUGCAGAGCAGGAGUACUUGGAAAUCAUUGGCCUGAGAUGGACUUAGGCUUCUGGUGAGGGACACUGCUUGAGACCACAUGUCCAAGCACUGUGAAACUAAAUGUGGCAUAAUGCAGGCUAUGACUCAGAAUUAUGUGAAUUAAGCAAAGUUCACAUUUAAUGCAGCCAUUAUUUGUACUCUUACCGAGGUCUGAUUGAGAACUUAUAGCAUUUUAUGCCUGUAUUCUUCCUUCAAUUGCCAUGGCUUGUCUUGCUUGUACUGAAAUGCUUUUGUGCAUUUUAUUGCAAUGGAAAUUAUAGGGACACCCCAGGCGCACUUCCACCGUCGUCGUUGCCGUCACGAUCAUGUUCCAUAUAAAGUCCAAGUGCGAUAACAUCGCAGCCUCACUCCAUAUACUGUGGGUGUGAGGGUGAGCUGAGGAGGAUAGUGGCUCGAUCUCGCAUGUGCAAGGAAGGAAGGUGGGAAGGAAGCAUGCUGUCUUCCAUUGUGUGCAAGGUAGCAGGGGGCAGUUAUGCUCCGGUGGCAGCUGAAUGCGGCUGUGUGAGCCCUGUUUUGAAAGCAAUCUGCGGUGGGUACUGAGUCUAGGCACAGCGAGGGCUGAUGGCUUCGUGUGUGCUGUGUUCUUGCCACUUAGUUUACGUUGUGAGAGGCACCACGAAGGGCAAUUCGCUUGCUGCUGUUGCUGCUCUUUUUCAUGCCAGCAUUUUGACAGCGAAUGUCCGCGGUCGUAGAGUGAGAUAUGCUUAAGUUUGCCUCUGUGCACAUGACACUCUGCUUGUUAAUUUAGUAAGUGAAUGUUUGCAAGUUUAUACGGCCACUAAAGCUACUAUCCUUACUUCACAUUGCUGUCUAAUAAUUUGCUAUCGCAGUCGAUGCUUCACCUUUUGGGUGAAACUGCAACGUUUCUUUCAGCACUGCAGAGAUUCUGUGUUGUUCACUUAAACAAAGCCAUGAGGUGUCUGCCAUACAAUCUGCGUGGCUAAUAAGCAGAUGGAAAGCUGCUUGGCCACCAUAUAAGAAUUUUCUCAGUAUAUCAUUGGCAAUAAAAAACUAGGAAAUUCCAAUGACUGCUUGGGAAGAAUGCAGCUGUUGUGUACUGUGCGAGUUUAGUAAGCUGUACAUUCAUAGAAAUUGGUCCUAGCCCUGUAAUGUUGACUUCGUUUCAGAGAUGUUUUAUUUCAUGUUGUUCCUUUUUUUUUCAUGUGCUUGUUUAUUUAUUUUUUUGUUUGCAGCCAUUUAUAAUGCAGCACGAGAAAACGAGCAACUGGCUGCUUUAACACUGGGCCUGGCAAUUGAAGAUGACAGCAACCAGCACAGAAGGCGGCGGCGACGGUGUGCCGCAUGAUUGACUUCUUCAGAUGAGGACCGUGUGUCUGGUGCAGACAAUGGUGGCUUUUUACAAGGCUUGAGGGAAACUUUUCCAACGCAUUCACGUCUGCAAGCAAGCUUCGCUGUCCCUCCUGAGCCUCUAGUCUCGCAGAAUAGUACCAGUAGCCGUUCGACUGAUGUGCCUUUCAUGUUGAUGAACUCUGAGCACUCUGGAUCUUCAGCCAUGCCUGCAUCAUCAGUGCAAGGUCAAACAUGCAGAGAGGGAUUCACAGAAGUCAAGUGAGUAGAAGGAGCACUGGCGGACUGCAGAAGAAAAUUCUGAAGGAGUUGGAAGAGAUGAGAGCAGAGCUCUCAGCGUAAGGAGAGAUCUUAAUGAAGUUGGAAAUGUUGUACUCGCUGCAAGCACAUGCCUGAAGUUCCAGACCUGUUGGCAAUAGCGUCCUUGAUGUGCUACCAUCGACAUCCCGUGAAGGGUUUCAGGAGCUCGAGAGUCAACUCUCUAUUGCCCAGAGCAGGAAUAACUGUGUGCCGAGGCACUGCUUUCAGCGGUCACCAUUCCAAGCCGUCGGUAUCAUCCCUUGAGGACGACAGAUCGACAUGUGCACCUGCUUGCAGUGACGAGAGGAAGUGGACCCUGACGUGGCGCUGCCAUCGACACUACUUAAACCGCGCUCAUCACUCUGCACUUCGGUUGGCAGCAACGGCUUUGGCAACAAGUUUCUGCCGGAAAGACCCCAAUGCCAACUUAUUCGACAAGGACCAGUCCUCAGACGCGGCUCGGCUCCUCCAGAACAUCAUCUGAACAUUCUGGCUAACUUCUGCUGUGAUCGGACCAACGUACUGUGAGUUUCUGUGCUUUUGUCAGGGACCUGCCAGGGCGCUCAGCUAGCCCUAACGGCUGGGAGAGUAGGCCUACCGUCAAGUACGCCAAAGGCCCGCACUCCUGCAGCAGCAAUGGCCCCGAAAUUCGUCACCGACGCUGAUGGAGGGACCACCCGAGUAUCAAAACAUUCCCAAGAGGCAGUGAAGAACUUCCCUGAUGCCACCGACAUGAUGGUGCGGUCAUAUGCUGCUGAUUGGCUGUGUUGUGCUUCAUCAACGAUUUAGAGAAGCAUUAGAGUGCACUGGAGGAUGCCAGCUGUGCCGAUAGUGUAAAGAAUAAAUCAGUUUUUGAGCAAAGCUUUCAGAAACAAUAAAGUGACUUUUUCCACCCAA